AGCGUACACGGUGGAUGCCCUGGCAGUCAGAGGCGAUGAAGGACGUGCUAAUCUGCGAAAAGCGUCGGUAAGGUGAUAUGAACCGUUAUAACCGGCGAUGUCCGAAUGGGGAAACCCAGUGUGAUUCGUCACACUAUCGUUAACUGAAUACAUAGGUUAACGAGGCGAACCGGGGGAACUGAAACAUCUAAGUACCCCGAGGAAAAGAAAUCAACCGAGAUUCCCCCAGUAGCGGCGAGCGAACGGGGAGCAGCCCAGAGUCUGAAUCAGCUUGUGUGUUAGUGGAACGGUCUGGA
rnacentral:rRNA from 1 species